AUGGCCCUGAAUCAAAGCUGGCAGUUUUCUAAAGCUGUUGCUUUCAAGCAGGAGCCUAAAAUGGUAUCUUUCUAUGAUCUGUUGGCCAUUUCAAAGCUUUGGAAAUGUAAUGGUCAAUUCAUUACAAAGAAACAACU
ensembl:snoRNA small nucleolar RNA SNORA2/SNORA34 family